GCCCACAAAAUAGCUCAGUUGGUAAAGCAUGAGAGUCUUAAUCUCAGGGCUGUGGGUUUGAGUCUUGCAUUGGGCA